rnacentral:rRNA from 1 species
AUUGAACGCUGGCGGCAGGCCUAACACAUGCAAGUCGAGCGGAUGAAGGGAGCUUGCUCCUGGAUUCAGCGGCGGACGGGUGAGUAAUGCCUAGGAAUCUGCCUGGUAGUGGGGGAUAACGUCCGGAAACGGGCGCUAAUACCGCAUACGUCCUGAGGGAGAAAGUGGGGGAUCUUCGGACCUCACGCUAUCAGAUGAGCCUAGGUCGGAUGAGCUAGUUGGUGGGGUAAAGGCCUACCAAGGCGACGAUCCGUAACUGGUCUGAGAGGAUGAUCAGUCACACUGGAACUGAGACACGGUCCAGACUCCUACGGGAGGCAGCAGUGGGGAAUAUUGGACAAUGGGCGAAAGCCUGAUCCAGCCAUGCCGCGUGUGUGAAGAAGGUCUUCGGAUUGUAAAGCACUUUAAGUUGGGAGGAAGGGCAGUAAGUUAAUACCUUGCUGUUUUGACGUUACCAACAGAAUAAGCACCGGCUAACUUCGUG